rnacentral:tRNA from 1 species
UGGCUCAGUUGGUAGAGCAUGGUGCUUUCAAAGCCAGGGUUAUGGGUUCGAUACCCAU